UGGCAGUGCGGCAGCUAUACAUGCAGUCGAGCGGACAGAUGGGAGCUUGCUCCCUGAUGUUAGCGGCGGACGGGUGAGUAACACGUGGGUAACCUGCCUGUAAGACUGGGAUAACUCCGGGAAACCGGGGCUAAUACCGGAUGGUUGUUUGAACCGCAUGGUUCAGACAUAAAAGGUGGCUUCGGCUACCACUUACAGAUGGACCCGCGGCGCAUUAGCUAGUUGGUGAGGUAACGGCUCACCAAGGCGACGAUGCGUAGCCGACCUGAGAGGGUGAUCGGCCACACUGGGACUGAGACACGGCCCAGACUCCUACGGGAGGCAGCAGUAGGGAAUCUUCCGCAAUGGACGAAAGUCUGACGGAGCAACGCCGCGUGAGUGAUGAAGGUUUUCGGAUCGUAAAGCUCUGUUGUUAGGGAAGAACAAGUGCCGUUCAAAUAGGGCGGCACCUUGACGGUACCUAACCAGAAAGCCACGGCUAACUACGUGCCAGCAGCCGCGGUAAUACGUAGGUGGCAAGCGUUGUCCGGA
rnacentral:rRNA from 1 species